UCUUCCAUAACGAGGGAGACAGUUGCUGUGCUGUGGCACUUGGGAGGCAGAGACAGGUGGGUCUUUGUGAGUUUGAGGCCAGCCUGAUCUUCAGAGCAAGUUCUGAGACAGCCAGGCUACACAGAGAAACAACUCUGUCUAAAAAAAAAUGAUUCCAUUGACCAAGAAACAACGCUCAAGAGAGGUGUGUGCCGGGAGAGAUGGAGACGUUUCUCAAAGGAGGACUGGAAAAUCCUAACCUUGAGGUGUGAUGGGCAAAGAGAAGCCAGAGAAAGGAGGGCCAGGUGGGCCUCAUCCAGUGAAAGCCAGACCUGGAGAACCGAGGGUCUCCGCUCCGAAGUGGAAGGCUCCUACUUAAAACUGCAAUGCAGGCACUUGACCUGUGAACUCUGACUCUGAGGUAGCAUCAGCUCUUCUUUGACUCUCCAGCCUGUUCAGAGUUCAGACUCCCAAACUCUCACUAUUACAUGAGCUUGGCUGUAGAUGGCAAUUCGAGGAAAGAAAAAGGAGGCAGAAAGGAAAAAAAAAAAAAAAAAAAGAGGCGAUCAGGAAAACUGAAGCAAAGAAAGACAGUGGUGCCUGCAACCCAAAGUUCCAGCAGAAAACCAUGCAGAAAAAAGGCCACCCAGGUGGAAACCAAAGUCAACACAAAAGAAUGAGAAUGGAAACGAGGAAGCAGCCGUUACUGUCCAUUUGGAAAGAGAGGAAGCACCACACUGCAGCUGUGAAUGUCACUCAGAUUAAAGGUGGAAGCUCACAGAAGAAACCAAGAAGGGGCAAAUCCCUCUUUCUCCCCUCCUGUGACAGCGCCUACAGUGGGGGCGCAAAGCUAAUUAUUUUAGUAGCAGAAUAAAUGUUACUAAUCCAGGAGCCAUUCCAGCUUUCUCAGAUUUAGUCAGCUGACAGGGUGCAUGCACUCUGUCCAGAAGGGAGCUAAGGCUGCACUGUUCCUUGUUGCACAAAAAGGCAGUGGGCCCUUUAAUUACCAUCUGCUUUUUGCAUCCUUUUUCCUGGAAGGAGAAACAGAAGGCUGCCAUACAGGUCCCUGGGAGCUGCGGCCACACAUGCAUUAUAUCUUUUUUGUUUGGGAUGACAGGACAGUUGUUUUAUUUACAGUUAAAAAUCUGUAUCAUUCAAGGCAAUGCCAGAAAGUUUAGCUAAUGUAUGCACAAUCUGGGGAGGAAAAGCAGAUUAAGUAUGAGGGUAUGCCCACGGGUGCUGUGCCCUGCAGGGUCACUUGCAGCAAUUUGUGCCUGUGAGCGCUCAGCAGGGACCCGCGUAGCACUGCGAAGGCCUGAUCUUCAGGGAACAAGCCCCAGAGGCUACUCAGAGAAAGGAGGGCUGGCUGCAAAGGAGUGUGUAUUUACUCAGUAAGACUAAAGCCCCAGCGUGUCCUUCCCUGAAGUCCACACACUGCUUUCUUGUUCCCAAAGACAGAACAGGAUUUUACGUCACAUUUUUGUCUACAUCUCAGACAGAAAACUAUCAUCUAAGAUGCCUGACACCAGAUAGGGAAAUAUCAACCCGCUAAGGCUUGCGAUCAUCUGAAGGCAAAUGAGUUCAUUUUUGGAAACUGGUCUCUGCAUACAGUUCUUCAGUAAGAGGGUCAGCGCCUCCUUCCCCUCCCUUUCCAGCUUCUCUGCAUUCCACAGGGCUCCCCAGGGCGGCACUUCCGCCAUUCCUUACCACUUACUCCCACAGCCUAGGACUGGGGGAAGAAACAAUGUCCCUGUCUCUGACACAGCCUCUGAACUGUACAGACAGACCAUUCCUGAUUAAAGUUCUCAACAUUUCUGCGGAAAGUGAAACUGUUUCAGACUUGUUUAAUAAAGCUAUGUUUAAAAUGAAA